AACCCCUCAAGCCUAGCUUGGUAUUGGGUGCUUGUCCCGCCUCUCGCGCGGCGACUCACCUCAAAGUCAUUGGCAGCCCGCAUCUCGCCGGCCGUGAGCGCAGCACAGACGCGCUCUUGGCAACGACGGAUCGGCUCUCCAAAAGCUUAUUUCAACCA
rnacentral:misc_RNA from 1 species